UGGGGCGUCGCCAAGUGGUAAGGCAACGGGUUUUGGUCCCGCGAUUCGAAGGUUCGAAUCCUUCCGUCCCA
rnacentral:tRNA from 1 species